rnacentral:rRNA from 1 species
AUGAACGCUAGCGGCAGGCUUAAUACAUGCAAGUUGAGGGGCAGCAUGAUAUACGCGAGUAUAUUGAUGGCGACCGGCGGACGGGUGAGUAAUAGGUAGGAGACCUACCUCAUACAGGGGGAUAGCAUAGAGAAAUCUGUGGUAAUACCCCAUGAGGUUAUAUGAAUAGAGGCAUAUAAUCAAAGCAUAAGCGAUUAUGCGGUAUGAGAGGGGCCUACUGACCAUUAGCUAGUUGGUGAGGUAAGGGCUCACCAAGGCGAAGAUGGUUAGGGGUUUUGAGAGAGAGACCCCCCACAUUGGAACUGAGAGACGGUCCAGACUCCUACGGGAGGCAGCAGUAGGGAAUAUUGGGCAAUGGGCGAAAGCCUGACCCAGCCAUGCCGCGUGAAGGAAGACGGCCUUAUGGGUUGUAAACUUCUUUACCACGCGAAUAGAGGUUAGUACGAGAUACUAAUAGGAAGGUAGUGUAGUAAAAAGCACCGGCUAACUCCGUG